UGUUAGACCUAAACACUGUUAAGUUGAAAAAUGAGUCAGAUCUGGAAAGAAGCAGCUAAAUCAAUGCACACAGGUGUUUAGUAAAACUAACAGAA
rnacentral:SRP_RNA from 1 species